UGACGUUUAGGCUCGAAAGUGCGGGUAUCAAACAGGAUUAGAUACCCUGGUAGUCCGCACAGUAAACGAUGGACACUCGCUGUCGGCGACAGACAGUCGGCGGCCAAAGCGAAAGCGUUAAGUGUCCCACCUGGGGAGUACGCCGGCAACGGUGAAACUCAAAGGAAUUGACGGGGGCCCGCACAAGCGGAGGAACAUGUGGUUUAAUUCGAUGAUACGCGAGGAACCUUACCCGGGCUUGAACUGCGCAGGAAUGUUGGGGAGACCCAUCAGUCAGCAAUGACCUGCGUGGAGGUGCUGCAUGGUUGUCGUCAGCUCGUGCCGUGAGGUGUCGGCUUAAGUGCCAUAACGAGCGCAACCCCUUCUUCCAGUUGCCAUCGGGUGAUGCCGGGCACUCUGGAGGGACUGCCGCCGUAAGGUGUGAGGAAGGCGGGGAUGACGUCAAAUCAGCACGGCCCUUACGUCCGGGGCUACACACGUGUUACAAUGGGGGGUACAGCGGGGUGCCACCGCGCGAGCGGGCGCCGAUCCUCAAACCCUCCCGUAGUUCGGAUUGGGGUCUGCAACCCGACCCCAUGAAGCUGGAUUCGCUAGUAAUCG
rnacentral:rRNA from 1 species